rnacentral:rRNA from 1 species
GACGAACGCUGGCGGCGUGCUUAAUACAUGCAAGUCAACUGAACUUAAGAUAGCAAUAUUUUAAGGGAGGUGGCGCACGGGUGAGUAACACGUAGGUAAUCUGCCUUUAGGUCUGACACAACCCCGAGAAAUCGGGGCUAAUAUCAGAUGAUGCAGCGGCUCGACAUCGAGACAGUUGUUAAACCUUCGGGGCCUAAAGAUGAGCCUGCGUCUGAUUAGGUAGUUGGCGGAGUAAAAGCCCACCAAGCCUGCGAUCAGUAGCUGGUCUGAGAGGAUGAUCAGCCACACUGGAACUGAGACACGGUCCAGACUCCUACGGGAGGCAGCAGUAAGGAAUAUUGCUCAAUGGCCGAAAGGCUGAAGCAGCAACGCCGCGUGGAGGAUGAAAUACUUUUGUAUGUAAACUCCUGUAAGAAGGGAAAAUAUUCCGAUUUAUCGGGAUUGAUUG